rnacentral:lncRNA from 1 species
AGGAAACAACGACAAACGAUAACGAACAACGGCAGAAAUGAGAAAGUCGUCACCGUAUGUGAAACCGUAGGGGCAUCGAGGAAUUGUUGAAAUUGGAUGGCCCGACCCGGCGAGGCUUGGGGCAGACAACCCGACCCAUCGACAUUGCGUUUUCGUAACAAUCCAUUUCUUCUUCUUCUUAUUCUGAUUUAUUUAUUUAUUUAUUUUUUUGCAGGAGAGAUUGAAUUAGUACGUGAAAUUAUGAAGAAAAAUAAUUUAUUUGGGGAGAGAGAAAUAAGGCAAGUGGCCUAUUGUUCUUGUUGCAGAACAAAUGAGCGAAAAU